rnacentral:rRNA from 1 species
CACGUAGGGUGCGAGCGUUGUCCGGAAUUAUUGGGCGUAAAGAGCUCGUAGGCGGUGUGUCGCGUCGGCCGUGAAACCUGGGGCUUGAACUCUGGGCGUGCGGUCGAUACGGGCAUCACUUGGACGUUCGGCAGGGGAGACUGGAAUUCCUGGUGUAGCGGUGAAAUGCGCAGAGUAAUCAGGAGGAACACCGGUGGCGAAGGCGGGAUCUCUGGGCCGAUGCUGACGCUGAGGAGCGAAAGCGUGGGGAGCGAAC